rnacentral:tRNA from 1 species
GCCGCGGUAGCCAAGUUGAUAGAGCGCACGGUUUGCCUGUGCGGAAGUCGUGGGUUCGAUUCCCACCAGAGGCC